rnacentral:rRNA from 1 species
NNNNNNNNNNNNNNNNNNCUAGAAGUGAAACCGCAUAAGGCUCAGUAUAACAGCUAUAAUUUACAAGAUCCUCAUCCAAACAGUUACUUGGAUAACUGUGGAAAAGCCAGAGCUAAUACAUGCAUUAUGCCGGGACUGUUGGCCUCCGGGUCGGCGGAACUGGUGCACUUAUUAGUUAAACCAAUCGCCUCCGGGCGCUUUGAGUUGAAAUCUGGAUAAGGAUGCCGAUCGUACGGUCGCUUGCGACUGACGACAGAUCUUUCAAAUGUCUGCCCUAUCAACUAUUGAUGGUAGUGUAGAGGACUACCAUGGUUGCGACGGGUAACGGGGAAUCAGGGUUCGAUUCCGGAGAGGGAGCCUGAGAAAUGGCUACCACAUCCAAGGAAGGCA